ensembl:lncRNA
CUCUGUUUGUUACGCAGAUGAAAUGGCCAUGUACAGCCGCAGCUGAUGCACGGAAGCUGGCCCGUUCCCUCGCAGCAGUGAUUGUGCACUUGGCAGGAGCCCGGCGGAGGCGCUCCAGCAGUUUGCUGAUGCAGAAUUCUCUUUGCAUUAAAUGGGAACGUUAUCUGACUUCAGUAAACAUGGUGCCAUUGAAACACGCUGACUUGCCCGCUCGUUUCCAAAGAUGGACUUGGUCAGCUGGUGGCAAUUCUGGCCAUUCCACCUGGACAGCACCAGUAUGGAUGCGGAUGGGGACAGCCAAGGGUGAGCAGCUAUCAACCCAUGCUAACAAACAGCCCGCGUGCAUUCAGCAGCAAAGAAACCACACCGCAGAGCAUGGUCACAGACAGGGCCCCGACCUGCAGUCAUCUCGCUUUCUGUCUGAAGGCACAGAUAAGUGGGAAGGUCAUUAAGGGGCUUGCUAAUUCCCUACAGUUGUCCACAAGAGGGGAUGAUGCUGUAGUCUUAAGACUACAUAUCCAAGGGAGAAACCUUUAGAAACACCAUCGCACCACCGCCAUGAGCCUGCCAUUGCCC